GUACACGCUGUGACUAGCAUAUCAAUAAGCGGAGGAAAAGAAACUAACAAGGAUUCCCUCAGUAACGGCGAGUGAAGCGGGAAGAGCCCAAAUUUGAAAUCUUGAAAGGUCACCUUUCACGAAUUGUAGUUUAAAGAAGUGUUUUCUGUUACGAUCGUAAUAUAAGUUCUUUGGAAUAGGACAUCACAGAGGGUGAGAAUCCCGUCUAUGAUUGCGAUUUGUAGCUUUGUGAUACACUUUCAAAGAGUCGGGUUGUUUGGGAAUGCAGCCCAAAACGGGAGGUAAAUUUCUUCUAAGGCUAAAUAUUGGCGAGAGACCGAUAGCGAACAAGUACCGUGAGGGAAAGAUGAAAAGAACUUUGAAAAGAGAGUUAAAUAGUACGUGAAAUUGUCAAAAGGGAAGCGUUUAACACCAGUGUUGUUUUCUGAAAAUCAACCUCUGUUAGCUUUAUGCAUGUUUGUUUAGACCUAAUCAGCUAUCUUGCAUGUUCUAUUGUUUGCAGUGGUGCACUUUUCAGUUUACAGGUCAACAUCAGUUUUUUUUACCGUAAAAAAGUUAAAGAAAGGUAGCUCAUGGCUCCGGUCGUGAGUGUUAUAGUCUUUUUCCUAUGCGGUAGGAGAGACUGAGGUCUGCAGUGUAGGCUAUUUGGCUAGAUACUCAGGUGCUAUGUGAUACCAUUUCAUAAACAACUUGUUGAUUAUGUUUUGUCUAUUGCAUACUCGCUUGUACUAUCAUACCUACGCUUAGGAUGUUGACGCAUGAGAUAUACGC
rnacentral:rRNA from 1 species